GACUUGCCCUUGUGUAUCAGUGGGUCCCAGUGUUUAGGAAGCCUGAAACAACAAGGCGCUGUGAACACCAAGCCCGGAAACAGCAGCCACAGCUUGCUGCGAGCCUGGCACGGGCCUGACCUCCUUCCUUCCCAAGAGGAAAGGGAGGGCCACCACCUACCCAGGCAGGAUGUGGGGGAGAAACCUGACAUCCUUCGCAGACCUGCUCGCUCGCCCCCGAACCUGCCCUCAUCGGCUCCACCUGCUCUCCUGAAGGUAGCCUGGACUCAGCGCUCUGAGAGGCGUCCUGCAGAGCGCGCGGAAAAUGUGGCUUUUGCAGGGCUGGGUCUGUCCACCUACUGCAGUGCCCAAAGUCCGAUGCCCUCCACAGUUUGGCCAAAUCUACUUUGCCGGCCUCGUCUCCGCGAUUUCCUCCCUGGGGUAGACUAGGGUUAGAGCCGGACGGGUGGGGAGCCGAGGCAAACAAACAACUCUGGGCGUGUCAGCCCCGCCCCGACCAGGGCACUGCCGAGUCGGGAUUGGCUGAUGUCGCCUGUAUUCUGGUUGGUCGGGGGAGGGUGCUCAUUCACAGGGAGCGCUGCUCCACUCGGGCUGGAAGUUUCCUACGCUGCUUCGCUUUCUGCACUCUGCACAAAAGUUGUACCACCUUGUAUGUAAACAGAUAAAAUCAAGUUAUCUAAUGUGCCUCCGAAUAUAACGUUGGCCCCUUGAAGGAUGGCCGAAUCUGUCAGCUUGCUGUAUCCUAUUUCUAAAUCACACACGUGAGGCCGAUUAACGGGCUUUCCCGGUGGUUCAGCGGUGAAGAAACAGCCUGCAAGGCAGGAUGACCCAGGAGAUGCGGGUUGGAUCUCUGGAUUGGGAAGAUCCCUUGGAGUAGGGCAUGGCAACCCACUCCAGUAUUCUUGCCUGAAGAAUCGCAUGGUCUGAGGAGACUGGUGGACUACAGUCCUUAAGAGUUGCAGCACGACUUAAAGACGCAGUAGGGCACGACUGAAACGAUGCAGCUCGCAGGCACACAUAGCCCUGUCACAAUGUCUUGAUGGUUUCCGGUGAAAAGCAAAGGGACUCAGCUAUACAUAUUCCCCAAACAUCCUUCCCACCCAGAUGGGCACAAAACAUUGAGUAGAGUUCCAUGUGCUAUACAAUAGGUCCUUAUUGGUUAUUUAUUUUGAAUACAUAAGUGUACAUGAC
ensembl:lncRNA